UAAAGGUGGUUAGUGGCGACGGGUGAGUAACACGUGGGCAAUCUGCCCUUCACUCUGGGACAAGCCCUGGAAACGGGGUCUAAUACCGGAUAAUACUCUGUCCCUCAUGGGGCGGGGUUAAAAGCUCCGGCGGUGAAGGAUGAGCCCGCGGCCUAUCAGCUUGUUGGUGGGGUAAUGGCCUACCAAGGCGACGACGGGUAGCCGGCCUGAGAGGGCGACCGGCCACACUGGGACUGAGACACGGCCCAGACUCCUACGGGAGGCAGCAGUGGGGAAUAUUGCACAAUGGGCGAAAGCCUGAUGCAGCGACGCCGCGUGAGGGAUGACGGCCUUCGGGUUGUAAACCUCUUUCAGCAGGGAAGAAGCGCAAGUGACGGUACCUGCAGAAGAAGCACCGGCUAACUACGUGCCAGCAGCCGCGGUAAUACGUAGGGUGCGAGCGUUGUCCGGAAUUAUUGGGCGUAAAGAGCUCGUAGGCGGCUUGUCACGUCGGAUGUGAAAGCUCGGGGCUUAACCCCGAGUCUGCAUUCGAUACGGGCUAGCUAGAGUGUGGUAGGGGAGAUCGGAAUUCCUGGUGUAGCGGUGAAAUGCGCAGAUAUCAGAGGAACACCGGUGGCGAACGCGGAUCUCUGGGCCAUUACUGACGCUGAGGAGCGAAAGCGUGGGGAGCGACAGGAUUAGAUACCCUGGUAGUCCACGCCGUAAACGUGGGACUAGGUGUGGCGACAUUCCACGUCGUCGGUGCGCAGCUACGCAUAGUCCCCGCCUGGGGAGUACGCGCAGCUAAACCUCAAGAUGACGGGGGCCGCACAGCAGCGGGAGCAUGGUGGCUUAAUUC
rnacentral:rRNA from 1 species